rnacentral:rRNA from 1 species
GAUGAACGCUGGCGGCGUGCCUAAUACAUGCAAGUCGAGCGAACAGAUGAGGAGCUUGCUCCUCUGACGUUAGCGGCGGACGGGUGAGUAACACGUGGAUAACCUACCUAUAAGACUGGGAUAACUUCGGGAAACCGGAGCUAAUACCGGAUAAUAUAUUGAACCGCAUGGUUCAAUAGUGAAAGACGGUUUUGCUGUCACUUAUAGAUGGAUCCGCGCCGCAUUAGCUAGUUGGUAAGGUAACGGCUUACCAAGGCAACGAUGCGUAGCCGACCUGAGAGGGUGAUCGGCCACACUGGAACUGAGACACGGUCCAGACUCCUACGGGAGGCAGCAGUAGGGAAUCUUCCGCAAUGGGCGAAAGCCUGACGGAGCAACGCCGCGUGAGUGAUGAAGGUCUUCGGAUCGUAAAACUCUGUUAUUAGGGAAGAACAAAUGUGUAAGUAACUAUGCACAUCUUGACGGUACCUAAUCAGAAAGUCACGGCUAACUACGUG